GCUCCCAUGGCGUAGUGGUCACUUCGCUCGCCUUGCACGCGGGAGACCCGGGUUUGAUUCCCGGCGGGGUCA
rnacentral:tRNA from 1 species